rnacentral:hammerhead_ribozyme from 1 species
AUCCAGCCGACGAGUCCCAAAUACGACGAAACACACGUCCUGGAU